GUUUCUAUCUAUGAAGUGUUUUCUUCCAGUACGAAAGGAUCGAAGAAAAAGGGCCCAUGCUUAAAGUAAGCCCUACCCCCACCUAAUGAAAACAACUUAAUUAGGCAAAGUGACACACUGCCUCUCCGCCGAAAAUAACGGCU
rnacentral:rRNA from 1 species